GGUCAAGCGAAUAAGUGCAUGUGGUGGAUGCCUUGGCGAUUACAGGCGAAGAAAGACGUGACAGCCUGCGAAAAGCUACGGGGAGCUGGCAAUAAGCUAUGAUCCGUAGAUGUCUGAAUGGGGAGACCCAACCCUUCGGGGUUACUCCUGG
rnacentral:rRNA from 1 species